GGGAUUAGGGUUCGGUGUGACCUUUGGGAUUCUUCAUGAAGAAACUUUCCCCUUCUCUCAAACAGAAACGGCGAAGAAACUUUCCCCUCCGAUCGAAGCAAAACGGCACCGAUGCCUCCCCCUCCGAUCGAAGCAAAACGGCGAAGACUCCCUCUUAUUCUUCUUGAUUUCUUUGUGCGUUUGGCGGUGAUGUUGAAGGAAAGAUCAAGAUGAAGAUGAUGAUUCAACGAUGUUGCGAGUAGUGAUGUUCAGCGUCGAAGUUUGUGAAGAGUAACGCGAAGAUGAUGUCGUUGUUCACGGUGGAGAUGAAAGAAGACUCUUCUGGCGAAUUUGGAGGAUUGAUGAUUGAAACGUUAAUGAAGAUGAUGAUGACUCAUGAAGAUGAUGAACGAUUCUGGUGAUUGAUGAAGAUGUGCGAUGAAUCGAAAUCAAGAGGUUUGAAGUGUGGAGGUUGAUACGGAUGCGUUUGAAGGAGUUAUGGUGAUGACGAAGAUGUUGCAGAUCGAAUCAGAGAAAAAAUAUGAAGGUUCUUCUGUUAUAAGAUGAUUGAAGAAGAUUGAAGAAUGUCAUUGGAGAGGAUUGAGAGUGGCUCAGAGAUGAAGAGAGAGUGAUGGUUCAGAGGUGAAGAAGAAGGUCAAUCAAGAAGGGUUGUGGAGCUGGUGAUGAAAUGGUGAGAGAGUGGAAACAGAGUGGUUCCGGAAGAGAAGAAAAAAACGUGAAGUGGUGGAGGGUUGAAGAUGAGAGUGAAGGGUGAAUGAUGAAUAGAGAGGGAGGCUGAAGCUGCAGAAGAAGGUGAUCAUAUAUAGGAUUGUGAAUUGUUGGACUGACUUGUGAGCUGUGCAGAGCUGAUAUGUCGCUGCUGUUUGGUUAAUGUACGGGUUUAUUUAUCAAAAUCCAAAGGACCUUUUGUUAAACCGUGUGACCCCAUGAGUAUAGAAAGCUUCACAUAAAUUCUCCAUGGAUUCACCAUUUGCUUCAAGGUUAAUCCGAAAGAAGGAACCUGAAGAAUAAGUGAGGACUAGAUGCCAUCCGAGUUUAUCAGAGAGUGAACUGCUUCGGUUUACUUUGAUGGGUGAUUGGUUAUGCAAAUGUGCUACUGAAACAGAGCCUUAUGCUGUGGGAUGAAUUUUUCCUUUUUGUAAUGUGUGUAAUGUCUCAUUUUGUGUUCCAUGUUGUAAUGAAAUGAUAUCAAAACAGAACUUGCACAACAUUCCACUUUCUAGCUUCCACUUUUAUAUUUUAAGUGACGUAGCCUUUCAAUGAUAUUUGGAUAAUGAUGAGAUUGAAUGUGGAAUA